rnacentral:rRNA from 1 species
UACGUAGGGUGCGAGCGUUGUCCGGAAUUAUUGGGGCGUAAAGAGCUUGUAGGCGGUUUGUCGCGUCUGCCGUGAAAUUUCGGGGCUCAACCCCGAACUUGCGGUGGGUACGGGCAGACUAGAGUGUGGUAGGGGAGACUGGAAUUCCUGGUGUAGCGGUGAAAUGCGCAGAUAUCAGGAGGAACACCGAUGGCGAAGGCAGGUCACUGGGCCGCAACUGACGCUGAGGAGCGAAAGCGUGGGGAGCAAACAGG